GAUCAUGGCUCAGGAUGAACGCUGGCGGCGUGCUUAACACAUGCAAGUCGAACGAAACACCUUAUUUGAUUUUCUUCGGAACUGAAGAUUUGGUGAUUGAGUGGCGGACGGGUGAGUAACGCGUGGGUAACCUACCCUGUACAGGGGGAUAACAGUCAGAAAUGACUGCUAAUACCGCAUAAGACCACAGCACCGCAUAGUGCAGGGGUAAAAACUCCGGUGGUACAGGAUGGACCCGCGU
rnacentral:rRNA from 1 species